rnacentral:rRNA from 1 species
AACGAACGUUGGCGGCGCGCCUAACACAUGCAAGUCGCACGAGAAAGGGAGCAAUCCCCGGUACAGUGGCGCACGGGUGAGUAACACGUAGGUAAUCUGCCUCUGAGUGGUGGAUAACCUCCCGAAAGGGGGGCUAAUACAGCAUGAGACCACGGUUCCGAGAGGGACUGAGGUCAAAGCCGGCCUCUUCAUGAAAGCUGGUGCUCGGAGAUGAGCCUGCGGCCCAUCAUCGGUAGUUGGCGGGGUAAUGGCCCACCAAGCCUAAGACGGGUAGCUGGUCUGAGAGGAUGAUCAGCCACACUGGAACUGAGACACGGUCCAGACUCCUACGGGAGGCAGCAGUGGGGAAUCUUGCGCAAUGGGCGAAAGCCUGACGCAGCGACGCCGCGUGGGUGAUGAAGGCCUUCGGGUUGUAAAGCUCUUUGGGCGAAGACGAAUAAGUCGUGGCUAACAUCCACGAUGAUGACGGUAUUCGCAUAACAAGCACCGGCUAACUCUGUGCCAGCAGCCGCGGUAAGAC